CCACAAUGAUGAUCAAAGUAAUACAAUAAUCAGUUCUGCUUCUGAUACCCCUUGAAGAAGACCAUACCAGCUUACCAUUGUCUGAAAU
rnacentral:snoRNA from 1 species